rnacentral:lncRNA from 1 species
GUUUACUCCCAGGAUAUUAGGACUGGGCAGGAUAACCUGGCUCCAUGACUUUACAGAGGAGGAGUUAGUAGAGGGCACACUGUGCAUGAGUGACUUUUUCGUGGUCCCCGUUCUAUUCUCAGCAGAAGCAGGAUCAGAGCUGGGGAGCCCUGCACUCUGGCCCGGGCUGGAUGAGGAGGAGAGGAGAUAGCCCUAUUGGCAGAGAAAGGGCUUGGAAUCGCAGGCUUGGGCUUGAACGCUAUCUCUUCCACCAGCUCUUUCUCAGCAGUUGCUGCCGCCUUGGCAGGGUCAGAGCGAGGGGGCCCCUCAGCUUGGGCACUUGGGUGGGGAUGGACACUCAGACCCUGAGCCAGCAGUGUCACCUCCCUACAGUCCCCGAUCUCAUCUCUCCCUCCCUCCUUUUCUCACCCCAGGGAAGAGCUUCACGCUGACCAUCACAGUGUUCACCAACCCCACCCAAGUGGCCACCUACCACCGGGCCAUCAAGGUGACUGUGGACGGGCCUCGAGAGCCAAGACGGCACAGGCAGAAAAUGGAGGACCAGCCCAAGGCCUUUCCCGAUCGGUUUGGUGACCUGGACCGGCUGCGGAUGCGAGUGACGCCGACCACUCCCAGUCCCCGGGGCUCCCUGGCCACCUCCACUCACUUCAGCACUCAGGCUACGGCACAAGGGACGUCUGACUUGAGCCCCUUCUCCGACCCGCGCCAGUUUGACCGCUCCUUCUCCAGCCUGCCUGGGCUCCCGGAGCCCCGCUUCUCGGACCCCCGGAUGCACUACCCCGGGGCCAUGUCGGCAGCCUUCUCUUACACGGCCAACCCCUCCCCCACGGGCAUCGGGGGCCUCAGCAUGAGCAGCAUGCCGGCGGCCACGCGCUUCCACCACACCUACCUGCCCCCUCCCUACCCGGGCUCCAGCCAGAACCAGAGCGGGCCCUUCCAGACCAACCCCUCCCCCUACCACCUCUACUACGGCACUUCCUCCGGCUCCUACCAGUUCUCCAUGGUGGCCGGGGGCGAGCGCUCCCCCACCCGCAUGCUCUCCUCCUGCACCAGCGCCGCGCCGGGCAACAACCUCAUGAACCCCAGCCUGACCAACCAGAGCGACGGCGUCGAAGCCGACGGCAGCCACAGCAACUCCCCGACCGCCAUGACCACGCCUGGACGAAUGGACGAGUCCGUGUGGAGGCCGUACUGAGGGCACUGGAGGAGGGGGUCCACGUGUGGGGGGCUGCACGCCCAUCCCGAGGCCCAGGGGAACAAACUGGGGGCGGGAGGGAAUGAAUUUCAUUUGCCGACUGUACGUAGGACCCGUGUUCCAAGACACAGAGAAAGCUCCUGGGAUGGGAGCCCCGGAGAACUUGGCCUCUGCCAGCGAGGCGCCUCCCUGGGGUUCAGCCUCCUGUAAAGUGGGGGGCUGGGCCAGAGGACCCCCGUAUCUGACGUUCUAAGGUUCCUUCCACCACCACUCUUCUUCCAGCGUUCCAAGGCACCCUUUGAUGUUCUGUGUCCUGAUGUUCCUUCCAGUUCUGUCUGAGCAGCUCCCCAUCCUGUGGUCCAAGGCCCUAUCCUUCUCUAAUCAGUAUUUCAAGGUCUCUACUGCGAGUCCUCCCCCCGGAGAAGGCACUUUCCCCUGCCCGCCAACCUCAGGCUCUCGUGUUUCCUGUUCCCUUUUCCCAGGCCCAAAUUCUGCCCUUUGGGGAGCAUCUGACCGCUUGGGGCAGAGCCCCCUCCUUGUGAUCCCCCAGAACCGUGGCGCUUUCCAGAAGAGCCGUCCACCCACUCCGCCUUGUGCCCCUGACACCCUCCCUCACCCCUUCCCUUGCUUAAGGACCCCAUCUUUCUCUCUCACAGCCUGGGAGGGGACUCUGGGUGACAUCAUCGGGCACAGGACAGCAGCUUUAGGGGGAUCCAGUUCCUGUGAGGUUUGGUCCAGGGCUUCCUCCCUUGGGACAGAGAGCCAUAGAAGGUCAUUGAUGGGAAGGUCUCCCCAACAUGUGUCCUGGUGGGAACAGCAGCAUCAGCCACAGGCCCUGGGCUGGCUUUUGGUGAGCCCCGGGCUCCCACCAGCCCCAGACCAUCCUCCAAGAGGCUUUCCCAGAGGCGCUGGGGGGGGUGGGGUGCCAUUGCCAACCCCCUCCAGGGAGACGAGGCUCUGGGGGUCUGGUGAGGGGCCACGGGAACUAGGGGAAGUUUGUGCAUUUGAGCAGGUGAAGAGGGCUGGGCAGCAAAAGCAGAGCUAGAGACCUUUCUCCCCGAGAUGGAGCGCUCAGGGAGGCGCAGAGAUGCUGGGCUAGAGACUGGAAAGCUUGGGAACCUGACACAAGGUCAGCUCAGAGCCAGACAUCCCCCCGACCUCAGCUUCUUCCUUGGAAUAAGCAUGACCUCCAAGGUGCUUUUUCCACCCGAAAUCCAUUACUUUUAUGUUAUCUAAGGUCCUGACAUUUCUGCUGGCUCCCACUCCCCACCUCCCAGCACUUGCAUUCUGUUCUAAGCACUAUUGUAAGGGUUCUUCCCUCUGCAACCUGCUAAGAUUCAAGUCACAUCCCAGGCCAUCAUUCUAGCUCUCGGUUCUUCUGAAUUGAGGUUCUGACAUCCUGGGUUCUAACAUUCUCUGUAUUUGGGUCUUUCCCAAUUCUUAAUUCUGUGUUCUGCAGACCUUCCCUGUUCUAACGAUUUCUGUUCUCAGGUCUCUCCCAGCUCUGACAUUCUCUGUUCUAAGGGCCCUCCCAGCUCUGACAUCCCAUGUUCUGAAACCCUUCUCAGCCCAGUUUCCUCGGCCCCAAUUCUCUAGUGUGGUCAGUACCAGGUUCUUUGAUGUAGGAAAUAUUAUGUGAAAAGGAUUUGGGAAGAAAAAAGCUUCUUGUUCAGAACCUAUUCAUUGUCUCAAUUUUGCUGUAAACAGAUAAGAAAGCACUUAUUACUUUGAACUGUUUGUUGGAAUGUGGAAUUCAUUUCUAAUAGGAAAAAAAAGAAAAGACCCUUGGUUGUACCGAGGUUUAUUGCAGUCGGAUUGCCAUCCCCUCUGCCACCAGGCUCAUGGCCAUUUGCCCAUAGAAAAGCCUCCUGUGGCUUUAGGGAACCAUUAUAUAGGGAUCACCUACAUUAUGCCCUGUUUACCUUCUUGCUCUCUUCCCUGGAGACUAAGUCACCACCUUCUCAAUGACCUUUUCUCCAAACAUUCUGACCCUGACCCUUUGAGAAAGGCUCACCGUCCCAGGGUCCACCCCCUUCUGUGACCGUCCUGGCAGAGCCCCUGGUUCCUGACCAGCCAUAAGGACACCCCCAGAAAUAGAUGCUUCCCACCAGGCUAUGAAUUACAUGGUCCCCGUGCAGUUCCAUACUCCCAUCAGGCAAGUCCAACUGAGGUGGGGUCUCAGACCUGGUCCCCACUUAAAAAGAAAGUAGAAGAGGGCAGCAGAAAAGGAAGGAUCCACCAUCUUCUGAUGGCCAGGCAAAGGAUCCCCCACCAUUCCCGUGCCCCUGUCUUUCGGAAACUUCCCCCCUGCUCUCCCCCCCCAUCCCUUGUUGGGUGGUAAAAAUAGGCUUUGCACUGUCAUUCACUCGAGUGUGCGGAGUAUUUUUAAUGCUUGUAUGGUAAGCCUGGGUCUGCCUUCUGUACUAUUUAAUGGUCAAAUCUGAAUUUGUUGUACUUGUUAUAAUAAUAUAAUUCUGAGAGAUAUUGAAAUAACCUGUCCUAAAGCUAUGUGUAUGUGUGUUGGGGGUAUGUAUGUGUGUGUGCUGCCCACUGGCCCUUGAGGCAAAGGCAAGGUGACCUUGCCGGUUGGUAUAAUAGUUAAAUGGAGUGAUCAGUUAGGGUAACCAAGGGCAACUUAAUAAAAACCCUGAAUCCAUAGCCGCUGGCCUUCCGGACCUGCUCUGUAUGGGAAAGGGGCUUUCCGUUGGAGCCUGGCCCUCGAUGUGGUCCCCCCAGAACAGAGCCUGGGCUGCGUAAGAUGGGUUCAAAGAGCCCCAAUUCUGCUUCUCUUGCCCAUUUUCCAUUCACCAUGUAGCUUUUCAUCUUGCACAUAUACACAGACGUGGUCCCAGCUCUCCUGGCUGCCUGUCAGGGCCUGGAGGACUAAUUGUUGGAGCCAGGGGAAGACAACCCCUGAUUCAAUGUCCACCCUAGAGCCCAGGAGGAGAUCAAAGAAAACGAGGAACUUCAGAAGCGAUUAGAUGUACUCUCACAGAUGCCGUGGAUAGGACUGCUACUGAUGAACGUUUUUGUUCAUUCCUGUGCUUUUAAAAUGGGCUCGCCAUGGAUCCGUGGGGCUCAGACCCUAUAUCAAGUCAGUGACCACAAAAGUCCAUUUUGUUUCCCUCUUAAACUGUAUAUCUUCCCUUCCCCAUUCCCUAAAAUCCUCUAAUCAGUUUUAAUUUAUCUUUAUUCCCAGUCUCCCCAGGCUGAGACUGGGAAGAGUCCAGGGUCCACCAGAGUCUACCACUAGCUCAGGUGGGAAUUGGUGCAAAAUAAAGAAUACAAAGUAGGAAGGAUUUAAUAGGAGGUUCCAAAUUUUCUUGAGGUUAUGGGUAGCUUCAAGAGUUGGCUGCCUUCAGAAAGCAAUGGGACAGAGGGAUUGAUGGAUUGAGAAGGGGGUGGGCUUCAAACUCUGGCGAGGAAGGGGCCCUUGCUGCUCCCAGCAGAAGCCUGUCAAGGGCACUUGGUUUCAGCUGGUCUCUGAAAAGGGCUGCAUCCCUCCUCCUCAUAGUCAGGGUCGUUGCCCUCUUCUUGGGGACCAGUUAAGAAUCAGGAUUCUUAUAUAUGAAUAAUAUAUGUUAUAUUAUAUAUAUAAAAAGAAUUAGUCUCCCUUCCAUGUGGAAAAACCAUGGCCAAAUUAAUUGCCUCUAAUCACUAAAGACAAAGUCUGCAUUCUCCAUGAUCAUUACUAUUUGUCCAUAGGCUCAGACCUCACCUCUGCUCCCGAAUCAUUGUCAAGACUUGAAUGAGUCAUUUAUCUCAACCUGCUUCUUCUAAAAUGACGAGGAUUAUCAUCCCCAUGUGACGGGUGAUCCUUUUAGGAUAAAGAAUUAUAAAUCAAGUGAAUCCAAAAAAGCAAGAGUUAUAAUUCUGCUAUCAGAUAAAACAAAAAUUUUAAAACUAUUUAAAAAGCUAUUUAACUAUUUAAAAAACAAAAGGAGAUAAAUAAGGAAACCAUAUUAUAUUUAAAAGAAUCAUAGACAAUGAAUCAAUAUCAGUAAUAAUUUUAUAUGUAACAAAUGCUUUGGUACCUUAAUUCAUAAGGAAACAUCUGAACUUCAGGAAGACAUAGAAUGUGACCCAAUAGUGACAGGACACUUUAAUAUCACCCUCUCAGUUGUAGAAAAGUCUAACAGAAAGAUAACCAAAAGAAAAUAUAACUAUGUUAUUUUUAACCAUGUUAGUUAGCUACUUUUGUGUCAGGAGCAAACUUGAUGCUUAUGCUAUCUAGCUUUUUUCCAAGUUAUUGAUAAACCUUUUAAAAUGUCACAAGACUGAGCAUAGAUCCCUGAAGCAUUCUACUCUUGCCAUGUUGACAUUGAACUAUCAACUCUUUGAGUCCAGACUCCUAAUGAAUACUGUAAUCCUCUAAUUGUAUCAUUAUCUAAUCCAUAUUUACUAUUUUUUUCACAUGCAAAAAUAUUUUUCAAAUUUGCUGAAAACUUAAACUAUACACAUAUCAUUCCUGCUAUUUUUCAGGUUAGUGAUUCUGUCAGAAAAAGGAAUUGAGGUUAGGCAUGUCCUGUUCUUAAUAAUUGUCUCCCCAUUUAGAUGGUCACCAAUCAUCUUUUUAUUGAUUUGUUUUAGAAUUUUCCCAGGAAUCUAAGUCUUCCUCACUGGUCUGUAGUUGUUGGACAUUGUUCUGUUCUCUCUUUUGCAAAUUAGAACGUCUGUCCUUCUCCAGUCUUGUAACAUUGCUCCUAUUUUCAGAUGUCACAGGGGGGUAGCUUGAGCCACCUCCCAAGAGUUCAUUGUUAAAUUUUUGGCAGAAGCAUUUACACCUUGGAAGUAAACGCUACAAAUUAGAGUUUGAUUUAUUAUUUUUGUUGAAGAAAAUCUAGUCUUAAUAACUAAAUUAAAAUCUUAAUAAUGCAUACUGAACCUUAAAGUAUGUCAUGAUAACAUUUUCUCCCAAAGGAUAAUUAUUAAACAUUUGCCAACAUUCCACUGAAAAUCAUUGGCAAUGGCAGUCUCAUCUGCCAGCUCUUUCUAUAUCCAAGAAAAAAGUUUGUAUGUGCCAGGGGACUUAAAUUCAUCAAGGACAGCUUGGUGCUCUCUGACUAUCACGUUAUAUCUCUUGGCUAUCAACCAGGAGUAUUCUGGUAAAGGUUUAAAAACCAACCAGCUUUCCAAAAAUGUACGCCUGGUACACUUUUAAGUUUAAUAUGUACUGUUAACAUUUUCUCCAUUGUUUUCUUAAGCCCAGACAAUCAACAAAACAAUAAAUCAACCCUUAAUUUGCAGCAUUUGCCAAUUUCUGACAUAUAAAUGUUCGUAAUAAAACUUUAACAAUUGGUCAAUUCAAGCUGGCUUCAACACACUUUUGGCAUUAACUCCUCAUUAGUCACUUUUGUUGUAAAAUUUCCAAUGCAGAGAAAACAAAAGCAAAAUCAAAACUGAACAGCUUGGCCUGAUCUCUGUUGUCUGUUACAUGUUGUCUUAUCUACUCCCAAACAACAGUCCUGGUUUUUAUUUUUUUUUCUCCUGAUAUAAAUUUUAAAACCCUAUUUAUUAUCCUCUUUAGUCCUAGCUAAUUCUGAGUUUUAACAUUCCUGACACUACUUUUGCUGUGUCACAUUCUUAUUUUCAUUCUCUGUUACUUUGUCUUAUUUCCAUCUUUUGUGGAAUUUUGUUGGGUCAGAGUUGGUUGAGGAGUUUCCUUUGCAUCCACACUGGUAUCUUCAGCUAUAUCCCAUUUUUCCUUCUUAUUGGAAUUGUUUCCCAUUUUGUGUCUUCAAAAUUCAUUCUGAAACUCUCAUAUCCCCCCUGGGCUAAUUUCCCCUGUUACAUUUUUAAUACUCGAGAUGAAUGCUACCUAUUUCCUAUAAAUCCUUUGAAAGUUGCUGUUCCAAGACCUAGGGUGCAUGUUACACUGUACCCCGAUUCUCUCUCCAUCACAAUCUCUAGGAAGAAAUGACGAUUUCCCCAGAUAGUGCCCAUUAUUUCUACUCCAGCAACCACUUUUUCCCUAUUAAUGAGAAUUAGUUCCAUGAUGGAAUUUCCAAUUUUGUUUGUCUUUCUGUUGAUCUUUAUCCAAAUCUUCUCCAUUAUCCGUCCUCCUUCCUCUCUCCCCCAGCUACUCCAUGUUCCCAGAUUUCCUCUCAUGAUUAUAUCUCCUUAAUAUACAAUGUCACUCCAUCCCACACUUUUUACCUGUUCUUCUCUUGAAUAAGGAAUACCCAAUUAAAGUAAUGGAUUUCAUACCAUUUAACCCUUGCAAUAUUUUUUCUAAUUUAAUAAAUUUUAUUUUCCCCAAUUACAUAUUAAAACAAUUUUUAAACUUUUUAAAAAGUUUUGAGUUCCAAAUUCUAUUCCUCUACCCCUUUUUGUCUUUCCCUUCCCCUAAGACUCAAAUAAAAAGGGGAAAAAAAGAAAGUGAAAAAUAACAUGCUUCAGUCUGUAUUCAAACAAUAUCAGUUCUUUCUCUGGAGGUGGAUAGUAUGCUUUAUCAUUAGUCCUUUGAGAUUGUCUUGGAUCAUUGUAUUACUAAGAAUAGUUAAGCUACUCAUAAUCCUUUGUCAUACACUACUGCUUUUACUGUGUACCACAUUCUCCUGGUUCUGUUCACUUCAUUUUGCAUCAGUUCAUAUAAGUCUUUUCAUGUUUUUCUGAAAUCAUCCUGCUUGGCAUUUCUUUUUUAUUUUUUGCCAUUUCCUUCUCCAGGUCAUUUUUUAAUAAAGCUGUUUUAUUUUCCAAACACACACACGGAUAAUUUGACAAUAUUGACCCUUGCAUAGCCUUGUGUUUCAGAUUUUCUCCUCCUCCCCUAGGUGGUAAGCAAUCCAAUAUAUGUUAAACAUGCUAAAAUAUAUGUUAAAUCCAAUAUGUAUAAACGUAUUUAUAUAAUUCUCUUGCUGCACAAAAGAAAUCAGAUCAAAAAAAGAAAGUAAAUGAGUAAGAAAACAAAAUGCAGUGCUUGUCAUUUCUUAUAGCACAAUAAUAAUAUUCUCUAGUGUGGGGCACUAUUCUACUUCCAGAUAUCUUGACAAUGAUAAUCUACUUAGUUCCCAUUAUUUUUCCCCAUCAAAGACUAAAU